CGCGCGCGAAGGCGGGGUCUCCCGGCAGCCCCGCCCCCGGCGCUGGGCGAGUGCGUCUGCGUGUGCGGCGCGCGCGGCCGGUGUUUCGGGCCUGCGGGGCGGGUGUGCGUGCCGAGGCCGCGGGGGCUUCCCGGCGUGUGGGUGCGUCUGGCUUUGGCCCCCACCUACGGAGGAAAGUUCCCCUCCCUGGCCCCGAAUUCCGGGGAGCUCCCAGUCCUUGAGCCGUUCCAGCACCGGAUCUCUUCAGAUGUCUUGGAAUCUAGGUUUGUGGGCACAUUCUCAGUGCUCAGGAGAUGCCGCCCCGGUGCCCAACCUCCUCACUCGUCCGCAGCGGCUCCCACCGGCUCCCACCUUCGCCCGGACCCGGGCCCCACACGGCCCGUCCGCACUCCCAGUAGCAGGGACACCACGUCAGAUCCGGGGUCUGCAGGCGGUGGAUUCACUCUUGGGCUUGGGCUUGGGUCGACGCAUUCACGCUCUGAGUCUUCCACCCUGUUAACCCCUAAGCAGCCGUCGGCAACAGGGCUUCUCUGGCGGUUCAGGAACUCCGACGGCACCUGGCAAAGGAUCCCCAGCUGCAGCCUGGGUGUGUGGCUGGCUUCGAGCACUCCCCCGUUCCAGUUUCUUCAUGAAGGAAAAGUCCUCCUCUGCUCCCGUGGUGUAAAAGAGGGACGUUCCGGGCCCAGCUGCAUUUUCCAUAAGACAAAGCCUUUGUGGGGUCAGGGUGCAUUCCUGUUGGAGACAAUUGUGAAUGGAUUCCCUACGUUUCUGCAGUCCCACGAGGGAGGCACCCCUGCCCUUCGUCCCAAACCAGCCCUUCAAGUUGUUUACGAGGAACGUGUGCAUUCUGGUCCUUCCUGCAUAGACAGCCCUCCCCGCAUGGUAGCGGGGCAUCCAGCCCAGGAGGACACAUCUCAUCAGUUCACCUCAGGACUUAAAACAAAUCUUACCAUUAUGAAGAGGGUUUUGGUUCGGCUGUUAUUUCUGUUAUCUGGAACAUGCCCACAGGCUUUCAUCAUGCUACUGUUUACAACCUCAUUACUGAUGUUCCUCAACCACCCAUGGUACCCAUUCUGCUGAAGACAAAGAUUUCUGGGUUUCUGGCUUUCUCCACAUCUCAUCUGACUCCUGCACUAGCUCUUGGACAAGUAUAUCCUGCCAUUUCUUUGGUAUAAGUAGACCUAGGCUUCUUAAUUUCUUUUUUUUAAAUUUUAUUUAUUUAUUCAUGAGAGACACAGAGGGAGAGGCAGAGACACAGGCAGAGGGAGAAGCAGGCUCCCUGAAGGGAGCCCAAC
rnacentral:lncRNA from 1 species